rnacentral:rRNA from 1 species
CCCUUAGAUGUUCUGGGCCGCACACGCGCUACACUGAAGGAGGCAGCGUGUACUCCUGGAUCGAAAGAUUUGGGUAACCCGCGAAUCUCCUUCGUGCUAGGGAUUGAGGUUUGCAAUUAUCCUUCAUGAACGAGGAAUUCCCAGUAAGUGCAAGUCAUAAGCUUGCGCUGACUACGUCCCUGCCCUUUGUACACACCGCCCGUCGCUACUACCGAUUGAAUGAUUUAGUGAGGACUUCGGACUGGGACCGAUGCGGCUUUCGGGCUGCGUCGGUAUUCUGGAAAGAUGUCCAAACUGUAUCAUUUAGAGGAAGUAAANGUCGUAACA